UGAGUAACCUGCCCUUAACUCUGGGAUAAGCCUGGGAAACUGGGUCUAAUACCGGAUAUGACUCCUCAUCGCAUGGUGGGGGGUGGAAAGCUUUAUUGUGGUUUUGGAUGGACUCGCGGCCUAUCAGCUUGUUGGUGAGGUAAUGGCUCACCAAGGCGACGACGGGUAGCCGGCCUGAGAGGGCGAUCGGCCACACUGGGACUGAGACACGGCCCAGACUCCUACGGGAGCAG
rnacentral:rRNA from 1 species